rnacentral:tRNA from 1 species
GGUGCCGUGGCCGAGCGGCCCAAGGCGAUCGGCGCGGGGGAGGCCCCCUCCGGGUCGACCGAUGAGGCGGGGGCGGGUCUGCCCCGGCCCCGUCCGCGGGUUCGAAUCCCGUCGGCAUCG